CUAAUCCACCGAGAAUUCAAAGUUUGUAAAAAAAUCCUAAUUUACAUAUUCAUGCAGGUCGUUGCAGGAAUAGACAGGCGUCGGCAAGUUCUUUGUUACAUGAAUGUAACAGUCGGCGGAAAUGGUUUAAUUUAAUUUACAGCAAUACUGAAUUGUUAAAAACAAAUGAUUUACCUUUCUCCGUCCAUUGACCCAUUUUUAAAGCUUGUGAAUUGAUGAUUGUUUUAAAAUUUACUCAAUUUUUAAAAAACUCUAAAAUGAUGUAUACGAUUUUAAAUUGAAAUAUUAUAAAAUGUAAGUGACCUUCCUACACUAUUGUUAUUUGUGGUUGUCCACUCCAUCCUCUAUUUUAUUCAUUACAAAUAAACUUGUUCAUAAUCUUUAUGUGUUCACUCUGCUACAUUAAAGAUUAGAAUUAUGUUCUCUUUAAAAUUAUAUAGAUAAUAAAUAAUAUGUACGCAUAAAUUGUUUUGAUUAAUUCAUAUUUAUUAAUAUAUUAGCCAUUAUAUAAGAUAAGUAAUUAUCUAAUCCCAUUGGUACCCUAGAAAAAGCCAAUUUUCCGGAGAUUAUUUUACUUACAUAAAAUCAUAAUUGUUAAUAUUUAAAUAUUUUUAACUAAGAGCUAAAUAAGUUAUUUCAAUUUUUUGACAAAUAUUAUGAACACAUGUAAAAUUAUAAAAUACAUUUUAUUUUUAAAACUUACUGUUCUAAAAUCUUAUUAUUUUGAGUUUACUAAGUUUAUCACAAAUAUCCCAAAUAGUAAUAGUAGUAGGUGUAAAGUAUUCUCAGAUAAACCACAUUUUAAGUUUUUACCUUAGAGUUUUUAGUCGUCUAAAUCUAAAUUCACAUACUUGUACCCUGUUUUAUCCAUUGUAUAAUAUUUGACAUUUGUAUUACGCACUUUUUUUCCAUAAUAUAUUUAUAAAUAUUUUUUUUACAAAAUUCAAAUAAAAUAUAUUGCAUUAGA